CAACAACAAAAAAAUUAAAAGAAUAACACAUGUAGCCAAAUCAGCACCAGAAAACAGAACUUUAGAUCAAGCCUCUGCCGUCUGCAACAGUGCUCUCUGGCUGCCAGCCAAAAUACCCCCAGAAGAAGAUUUAGAUUUAGGCCACAUCAAGAA